UGAAUUAUAUGAUAGAUAUAUAGAAGAAACACACUACUGAGAACACUUGAAUAAGAUCUAUUUUAAGACAAAAAUCAUCAAUUUGUAAAAGCUCUGUCAUUUUCAAAACUCAAAACUUUACACUUAAAAAAAAUAAAAGCUUUGCAUGUCACAGGAGAGGACUCAGAUUCGCCUUUUCUCAGACAAAUUAGAGGAUAUACUCAUCCGCCAUGGCUGCUAAUUCCUUAUAGCCCUGCCAUGAAAGAGAGUGUUACCACAAUGUCUGGUCUAUUGACUUCUUAAGAAUCAUCAUAGUCGAGCUUAACCCAAAAAAACAACCUCCGGGAGCAGAGCCUCAUACUUAAACUAAUGAAGGUCAAGAACCCUAAAAAAUCUCUCCUUUUUGGGAAAUUUAUAGUACCCAAUUUCCAGUUUCACCCUCAGAUGAUUAUUCAACACUCGGACCGAUGAAAGGGUAUUUCGGUCAUUAAAGAAAAAAUACAAAAAGUGCCAGUGACGGUUAACUAAACCGGAUUCAGGUUUACUUAACCGGUUUUAGGAGUCCUCGUGAAAUCAUUCAGGUUUACAUGGGAAGGUGGAAGUUGGGUGGGAAUUAUUUUGUAGCCUCGGCCUUAAAGGAGUGAAGCACAAUGAUCUUAGGAUUUUGUAGGAGAGGUUUAAAGGAGGAAGCAGAUGCCUUGUUCAAUAAAAUGAAAGAAAACCCAAAUAGUGGUACCUAAUUAGGGUACGUCUUAGAGAUGGUGACACAGCUGUGUCUGGUGGAGAUGCUUCAACAAUAAUUUUGGUCACUAAAUAUGUUGCAUGAUGGGAGAUUGGACAAAAGCUUUCUUGAAACAGUUUCAUUAUCCUCUAGAGAAGAGGAGUGGUAGAGCAUCCAUCUUUCGUUCAAAGCAACUGUGAGGUGAAUCAGCUUUUUAAUUAUAUUGCUUUUUUCAUGUGAUUACUUCUUGACGCAGUUUACGUUUUCAUGUUAAAGUUGUUUUGUGUCCGAGCUGCUUCAUGGACAAGACUGGUGUUACUCUUUGUUCUUUCCUUGAUAGGUUGCAAACACACUUGUUAAUCAGUGAUGAGAGUCUACAUUAUAAGAACUUUAUUUCGCAAGCUAAUCUAUGUACAAGAGACCAUUUUGAUUGGAAUUGAGAUAAGUGCAUGGUGGUAAUCCAGCUUGGUUCAGGCUUAAGUAUCCGUAUAUAGCAAUCGGUGCUUUAGCACCCUCCGCUCAUACUCUUCAGUUUGAUAAGAUUAUUCGUCUUGAAGCUUCUAUGAGACCGUUUCGCAGGAUUUCAAGGUCUGUAUAUUUCUAACACAGUUGGUACAAAAAAGUAUAUUCAAUGAAAGCUGUUAAGAGCUUCUCAUGCCUCUUGCUAAGAGCCGGACGUGAUUGUUAACUGUUUGAAGUCAUCAAGAGAAGCUGGAGGUUUUUUUCCACCAUGAAAGCUAGCUGGUUACAAGAACUCAACAAAAAGUUCAGAACUUGGAAGUAAAAAUCUGCAGCUUUCCCUCAUUGUUGACAAAGCUGCGCUCUCUAUCUUUUGAUGAUCUAUUGUCUAAUCCUUAACAAUCACAGGGAUCUUCACUCUGUCACUUCAGCCUCAAGGUGGCUAGAGUCAGCCUUUAUCGAUACAGCAAUGGUUAAUUGUCCAACUCCAUCAAAUUCCAUGGCUCCACUGCCUGCUUAUCCGGUGGAGGAGGUAAUACAUGUUAGAGUGUACAAAGUACUAUCUUUAUUAAUUGUACUGGUUUAUUCACAAUGAGACAUCCUCCUAUUACAUCAGUCUGCAAGAUCAUUGAAGACGGAGAAGCCAGCAAACUUGAUCGUGCAUUUGCAGCUGCAAACUAUUCAGAUUCAGAGAAUUGCUUCGAUAUUGAAAACCAAACUGAUCCUCAUGGAUUCAUUCAAUGGUUGGGAUUGGCAGGUAUUCAAGAGUCUAUCUGUUUCUCCUUGUUAUUCAACUUACUUAAUGGAUCAGUGCUACUAUCAGAUAUAUGAAAAAAAAAAGGAUUGCACAGAUAUGGUAAUGCCAAUAAACUAUUCGAACCAGAACAUGUUUCCACCAUUUGAAAAUGAUGACAAAGGAGACCAAGACCCCACUGGACUACCACCGAGGUUUGUUCAAGUUUUUUCUCUUUUCUUUUCCAAAUAACAGACCUAAAGCUCAGCUUUUAAUCCGAGUCUGUUAAUUGCGGAGAAUAUAGAUGGUGUUGAAGAGAUUUGGUAACAACAUUAUAUUCUCCAAUACCAAUAGAAUGCAGGAUCCAUGGAGCAGAGAAGGGUAAGUCACUCAUUCCAUAUUCCAUGUCAAUAUAAUGAACAAGGAAACUGAACCCUGUUUGGUUUAAAGCAGGAACUCACCAUACACAUCUCAGGGCUGCUACGAAGACGACCCUGCGUGAAUGAACAGAGGAGGCAAGAAGUUGCUGAGAUUGAGAAAUGGAUCAGUGAGUAUUACACUGAUCUGAGACAAGAAGAGCAAGCCAAGUAAAAGGACCAAACACAACAUUAGAAACAUUGUCUGUGAUGAGAUCGUCCAAGAGUACAAAAUUAUCGAAUUAUUUUUUCUCCCAACCAACACAAUUACGUUAAAUUAUGUAGUGGAAGUCCCAUGCUAGAAAUCCGUUGGAUUUGUAAUCAACCCGAGUUUUAAAGGAUUUCAUUGCUUAUGAUGAAACAAAAGACACAAACAUGUAACCAUAUUGGACCGGGAGCUUCCUUAUAAAAUUCAGCUAGUGAUUUAUUAAACAAAAUAGGUGAUUAAGCAUGAUGCGGGGAUAGCUCAGUUGGGAGAGCGUCAGACUGAAGAUCUGAAGGUCGCGUGUUCGAUCCACGCUCACCGCAUUUUUUUGUUUUUUUUUCACACCAAAUUAAAAACAUAAUAAAGAUAGAGAUAGCGAUGCAAGAUAGAACAACUCAAAUUAAAUGAUACAUUUUAUCAAAAAAAAAGUUAAUUGAUAUAGUUAAUUAUCCGUUCAUCGGUUAAGUCGGUGAAUAUAAACUAAUGUAUUCAUGCAUCCUAUGUAUGCGUUAGUUGGGAGAGAUCAGACUGAAGAUUUGAAGGUCGCGUGUUCGAUCCACGCUCACCGCAUUUUUCAUUUUUUUUUCCACACCAAAUUAAAAACAUAAUUAAGGUAGACAUCGUGAUGCAAGACAUAACAAUCCAAGUUAACUGAUACAUUUUAUCAAAAAAAAAAAGUUAAUUGAUAUUGAAAAGAUUUGUUUUUUCUUGUUAUUGGGAUAUUCCGAGUUAAUUAUCCGUUCACCGGUUUAAGUCGGUGAAUAUGAAUAAUAAUGUACUCAUGCAUCUUAUGUAUGCGUCAGUUGGGAGAGCAUCAGACUGAAGAUCUGAAGGUAGCGUGUUCGAUCAACGCUCACCGCAUUUUUCAUUUUUGUUUUUUUUUUCAUACCAAAUUAAGAACAUAAUAAAGAUAGAGAUAGCGGUACAAGACAGAACACCCAAGUUAACUGAUACAUUUUAUAAAAAAAAAAAAAGUUAACUGAUACUAAAAAGAUUUUUAUUCUUGUUAUUGUAUUCGGAGUUAAUUAUACGUUCAACGGUUUAAGUCGGUGAAUAUGAACAAUAAUGUACUCAUGCAUCCUAUGUAUGCGUCAGUUGGGUGAGCAUCACACUGAAGAUCUGAAGGUCGCGUAUUCAAUCCACGCUCACCGCAUUUUUCAUUUUUUUUUUCACACCAAAUUAAGAACAUAAUAAAGAUAGAGAUAGCGAUGCAAGACAGAACAACCCAAGUUAACUAAUACAUUUUAUUAGAAAAAAAAAAAGAAAGUUAACUGAUAUUGAAAAGAUUUUGUUUUUCUUGUUAUUGGGAUAUUCCGAGUUAAUUAUCCGUUCACCGGUUUAAGUCGGUGAAUAUGAACAAUAAUGUACUCAUGCAUCCUAUGAAUUACAAAUAAUGAGAAUAUUAAGUUUUGUUCCCAAAUUUAGCACAUCAUCUACAAAGUUCCAAAAAUAGCACAAAUUUAAUAUAAAACUAUAUUUAAUAUGUACCUUAAAUUGAAAAUAAGGAAUCCAAAUAAGGGAAAUGAUCAUCGGAUUCAAAGAUGUCAAGAUAUUUGGCUAGACUUAAUUCGGUAAAGAAGUUGUUUUCUUAUCGGGAAUAAUGCAAAUUAAAUGCUGAACUUUUUCAUUACGUCGUUUUUAAUCCCCAACUUUUCCUGAAACGAUUUAAAUGCUGAACUUUCUUUGACUUUCCAUUUAAAUGUCAAACUUUGUUUGACUUUUCCAUUUAAGACCCGACGUUCAUAACCCUAGAAAUUGAUUACACUUCGAUGGCACACCACGGACUCCGACAACGUUCGAUGUUAUAGAACUUGAACUCAUUAUACCAAGUUGAGAGAAUCACAAGAAUGAAUCCAAAAGAGAAUGAGUAAAUCCCAGAAGAGAAUGAGAGAAAUCUGAAGCUUUCGAUUUCUAGGGUUAUGGGUUUGGGGAUUUUUCGAUUUGGGGCAAAUGAGUUUGAUUGGGGUUUUGUAAAUUCAAAAAACGACGUCGUUUAUGUGUAUUAAAACGGCAUCGUUUUAAUUUAAGAGGAGCUAUUAACGGCAUUUAAUCGGCGUUUAAUUGUUCCGUUGAUCGACUUAACGUCGGGUCUUAAAUGGCAAAGUCAAAUAAAGUUUGGCAUUUAAAUGGAAAGUCAAAAAAAGUUUACUAUUUAAAUCGUUUCAGGCAAAGUUGAGGAUUAAAAAUGACGUAAUGAAAAAGUUCAUCAUUUAAUUGGCAUUUUUCCCUUUUCUUAUCUCAUUGUUUGACCUAUCUUAUGUUGAAAUACUUCUUUGACCCAUUGUUUUUCUUGUUUGAAGGCAGUCAGGACCGGCCCAAAUUCUUUGGAUGCCUAAAGCAAAAAUAUUUUUGGCCCAUUAACAAAAUCUGUCAAAAAAGCAAAAAAUACAAGUUUUAACAUUUAUGGGAAUCGAAACUGUGACCUGGACAUUAAUAAUGUUCGGACAGACCACGGUAACAUUUUUAAAAAAUGAUGCCCAUAAACUACUUAUAAUUAUUGCUGCCUAAAGCCCUCGCUUCAUGGGCUUUAGCCAUGGGCCGGCCCUGGAAGGCACUAUCGGAUUCGUGCUUUGAAGCGUAAUUUUCAAUCUUACAACGAUGAGUCCUUUCAACAAUUCUACCUUCACCGAGAUCUGCGUCAUGCAAUCCAAGAAGUUUGGUGUUAGCUAUUUUGUAAUGAGAAUCCAUAGUUGAACUCCUCGUGAUGUAGAUUUUUGUUUUUCUAAGUAGUUGUUUUGUUGUUAGAUGGAGUUUGUUAGUGAGAUCUAAUGUUGGUUGAGUGUAGUGUACAGUUUUACACUAUGCAUUGAGUUUUUUUUUUUUUUUUUUCAUCAAACACCAUUUCUAUUAAGAUAUCGGAAAGAGACUCUCCGGGAGAGUCUCUUUCUUUCUUUUUUUUUUUUUGAUAACAAAAAAAAAAAAAAGACUCUCCGCUAGAGAGAGCCAAUCAGGAACCGAUGAACUUACAUGGGAGAAGAGACUGUUACGAGCCCGAGCUUUUUUGGCUAACAAGUCUGCUCGAGUAUUAGAACUACGAGGAAGAAAUCUAACAUUAAAAGAAGGGAAAAAACAAACGAGUGACCGAAAAGAGGUCAUUUCUGCUGCAAAAGUUGGCCAAACGUCUUGGUUGUCGAGGAGAGAAAUCAUGUCAGAGCAAUCGGAUGCGAAGGCGCCAGUGGUAAUGCCUAGCGAGAUCAUACAUUCCAUUGCCUAAAGCAAGGAAUCAAUUUCCGCGUGGAGCGGUGAGAGACUUCUUCUCGAACUCUUUAGGCCAAGAUGAAGAAUGUGGUCUUGGUCGACUAAAACCCAACCAUGUCCACUUAGGGUAUCCUCCGUAUGCCAGGAAGCAUCAAUCUAACAUUCCGAGAUCCGGGGAAGAGAAGAGUGGGGUAGAACUGAGCGGGCAAGAGGCUCGGGAUCUGCCGCAUCUUUCAAGUUAGCUUGCUUCCAGACAGAAGCUUCUCGUAAAGCCAAGGCCAAAGUCUCCAAAGGGGGUUCUUUGAAGUUUUCAAAUAGAAAACGAUUACGGCUUUUCCAGAUAUACCAUAGUAUCCAUGGAAAGAGUUCUAAAACAUCCUCCUCUAUUCCAAACUCUCGACCUCGCCAGAAGAGGAAAUCGAAGUUGUAGAAGAGGGAAUUUCUAGGGAAGAUGUGUCCGGAAGAGGGAAUAGGUGAUAAUGCCCAAAUUUGUCUCGAGGGCGGGCAUUCAAAAAGAAGAUGGUUAAUAGAUUCUUCUUCCCCUCCGCAGCGAGGGCAAACUUUGUCGGUACCAAUAUGUCGGUAGACAAGUUUUUGGCUUGUCGCUAGACAACCCGAGAUACAUUACCACGCGAAAUGCAUAAGCUUCCGCGUAGUUUUAAGCUUCCAUACUUGUGCAUGAAGAGUCGAAACACCCGGUCCCUGAAAAGGGGGGUCACAAGUAGGACGAGACAGAGCUCUCCCGGCCCAAUUGUGGAAGUCGGAUUCACACACUCAAGUAUUUUGUUAAGUGGGAAAGAUUAUUCUUGAGGGACAAAAAUAAAUAUGUAAAAAACUUAUAAAUCGAUACGAAAAUUGCUAUAGUAUUUCUCUCUUGAGAGGAAGAUCCCCUUUUCAUGGCCAUUGGCCUCUAUAUUUAUACAUAAAUAAACGACAUUAAAAUGAGUAAUUAAGCACAAUUAUUUCUUCUUAAAUGUGUCCGUUUUGAUUCUUCGGCUUUAAUGCUCAACGUUUGAAUUUGAGUUGACUCUGAUCUUCAUGGGCCUCGCCUCUUUUGGCCCAAGUGUCCUUGAACCGACUUGCCCAUGCCUUUUUCAUUGAACUCGUGUCACAGUGCAGUCACUUCGGAUUCUCGAAAUGGUGACAACCAUUUCGAACAUCCCUUCGGCUCACGGGUCCAAUGGGCUUCAUCCUUUAUGGGCCAUUACCCUGAUUACGUGGCAAUCUUUGGUUGGUCUCGUACUUCUGGUGCGGGAUCCGACACCAACAAUUAGCCCCCCAAGUUCUUCGAAGUGCUAUUCCAAUUCGGAGGACUUUAAAUGCUCAAGUGGCCAAAGAUUGCGCUCGAGAAUCUUUAUGAUUUCCCGCCGAAAAUCCCAUCACUCCUUUAAUUUCGGCAAUAGCCAUUUUUAACCGAGUGACAUCUGUCAUCAUUAUGACCGUAUAUUGAUUAAUUACUAUUAAAACGGGAAAAACCUUCCCACUUCCCACACGACUUCCGAGGCGGUUUCAUCAUUAGCUUGAGGUAACUUCUUUUCACCAUUACUCUCUUCUUUUACUUUUGUACUUUAAUCAAAACCUCUCUCUUCGUUCCUUCACCAAAACCCUUCUUCGCCGGAUCUUGAAUUUUUCUUUCUUCCCAAUGACUUCUGAUUCCGAUAGACCCGAGUCUCCGUCUUUCGACGAGAGGCGUUCUAGUAACGACGAGUGCACCCGCCCUGGUGACAUUGCCGGUCCGCACUAUAGGUCCACUUGUACUCUUCAAUCCCUCGAGCGGUUGAAAGAGCUUUGCCGGAUUCCGCCGGAAAUUAUGGCGGAAGCACAAAUAGCUUCCCCCACAGAAUCCCCAGAGAACCAUCGUGAUGGUUACUUCUGUGUGUAUGAAAUUUAUUUCAAAGGUUGCGGGCUGACCUUUCCUCUUCCCGAAGCCCUAGUUCUAUACCUAGCGGCUCUUGAAAUCGCUCUUCCCCAAUUAACCCCAAAUCUUCUCCGUACUAUUCUUGGAAUUAUAACAAUCGCGGCGGAGGCCGGUUACGUUAUCGGAGUUGCUGAACUAAAUGAGCUUCUGAGCGUGAGAAGUUCAUCGAAGAAAACGGGGUAUUUCUCAGCAUAUCCCAAUGCCAACAGGAACAUCAUUUCACAUCUUCCGAACAAGGAUGAAAAUUGGCAUCAUCCUUGGUUUCUAAUUAAGAAAACUCCCGCUUCGAUUGGAAAUCUCGCAGAUUUUCUCCCUUCGAAGUGGUCUGCGAAACCCGGUAGUGAUUAGGUUGCCCGUAUCUUUUCCGAUUGUUUCUUUAUCUUUAUUGGCUAACACCGUUGUUUCAUUUCGCAGCUUUCAUCGCUUCCAAUCUCCCAUCUGAAGAGUUCAUCGAAUUCUUCAAAAUAAUUCUUGAAGGGGAAACCCUUUGGAAUUCCUUCACUCUUGAACGAUUCCUAGAAGCUAACCACAGACUCAGGAUUAGUCCGCCUGGUCAUCUUCACCAAAUUCCUCCCCCUCCCUCAACUCAGGGAAUGUCAUCUCGGGCCCUUGCGGCCAAGCGUAAGUUGCUUUCCAAGCCGAUGGCUGAGGCUUGCGAGGAGAAGAAAAAGUUUCUCGCGACUUCUAUAGACAAGAAGGACUACAGUAGAACCUUGCUGGUUGAUGAUGGCAGCACCGAGGGAGCUCGAUCUGUCGCUUCCUUCAGAUUAACUCCUCGUCGCGAUCGUCGCGACUCACGUUCUCCUCGGAGGGAUCGAUCUCCUCGCCGUGAUUCACCUCGUCCUUCCCGAGAUGAUUUUAGUAACGAGCCAAUUAAGAACUUGGUUCGCCGAAAGAGAGACAAGUCCUCUCGCAGUGAUCCUUCCCCGCAGAGGGAAAAGUCAAGGGCCCGGACUGACCGCUCACCUCGGUCAUCCCCUCCUUCUGAACCAAUGGGUCCUCCACGACCGGUUGACAUGUCCUCCUCUUCCCAGCCUGAUAGUGGAAAGACCGCCCGGAGCGCGUCUCCGAAAAAAGGAGAUUCUGAAUCUCGAGAUGCUCCCUCGAGGCUGAAGCCUGCUCUUGUACCUCAAGUCAAAUCGCUUUCAGGUUUGGUGAUUUACACACACUUAAACUUUUGUCUUUAUUAAAAUUCCAAUUUUUACAAUUCUUCCUUCUUCGCAGCUAUGGAGACAGAAGGCAGCGUCUUCCGAUGCUUCAGGACCCGUUCGGGUUCGAUCUUGCCAGAUUUCAACAAAUGGCGCCCUGCGAUUCGUGAACGUUAUUUGCUUCACGCGCAUCACUCAUCUCGGGUUAGUUCCGCUUUCUUUUAUGUAUAUUUUUUAUUGUAUUGCCAUUCUGCGAACUGACUCGUCAUCCCGGGUUCAUGUAUAACGCCAGGCUCAAAGCAAAUUUAACGACAUGAUCGAACAUUACGAAGGGUUGGUCAUUGGCCGGGAGAAGGAGAUUGACAUGUGGACAAAGAAACUCUCCGCCCUUGAGGCCGAACUCAGUUCUUCUGCCGGCUCCAAGCAUGAUCUGGAGGACAAAGUCGACAAUUUAACAUCCGAGCUCGCGCAGAUAAAGGGGGAGCUGCAGGGUCAGUACGACCAGAACUUCAAACUCCAGGAAGAGUUUUCUGGUAUUCAAGGUAGGCUUCAAGAGUCCGAAUCAAACGCUGAUUCCCUGAACAACCAACUCAUCGAGCUCAACGCGAAGUACAAGGCGAUCGCCAAAUUGCGUGACUCCGAGUUGGCGAGGUCGGCAUCAAAAGCCAGAAAAGAGGUCAAGGGACGUGGGAUGGAGUUGAUCCAAGAGGCCAUCCGAUUCAUGCAGACUGAGAAGGCUAGGUCUGACUUGGAAUCUGACAUCAAGGAGCACGAGAGCAACCUGAUCCUACUGGAUCAAAUCCAUGAUGCAGAUUUCUCCGAGGAUCAAGAGAGAACCGAACUAUCGGCUAAUCUUUCUGAAAAGUGGAGUCGCUUGGCAGCUCUUCCUACUUCGACCUUCAACCCUUAGGACUUCGAGGAAUUCUUCACCGAAUCGCCUCCUAUAAGCGAAUCAGGUCUAGACUGGGCAGGUAAUGCUUGGCUCCUGACAUUUAUUACCUUUCCUUUUCUUGCACCUUUGAUUGACUGGAAUUAUUAUUCCUAGGCUCAAGUGAGGCGGAGGACGUUGUCCCGCCCGUAGCUCCUAUGGUAUCGGAGGUCACUCCGGAGGUUGGUUGUACCGCGGAGGGUGGUCAGGGAGCUUCAUCUGAUCAAGCAGCUGCCAAGGACGCGAAUGAAGCUUCGACUGUUGAGCCGGACUCCGAGGUGGCUGCUGCUCCGUAGUGGCUGUGUCCACUUUAAAUUAGGGAUUGUCCCUUUAUUUUUAAGACUUAAUUUCAAACUUAUUUUUGCCUAAGGAGGCUUUAUUAUUAUUUUCUUUUGAACAAGAUAUUUGCCUGAGGAGGCUUUUAAACCUUUCUAGGUUGUGACCCAAGGGGGUUUGGUUAAAAUUAAAUGCGGGUUUGCAAAGUCCGCUUUUAACCUUUUGUGGCCUUGUGGCAAUGCUUUCGAGAUUUUUAGGCUGAUCAGACCUUUCUCUUUAGAAUGCGAGAACUGAGCUCGGCUUAAAGCGAGUUUCCCACUUCGGGUUUAGUCAACUCGGUAAACUUGUUGGGCUUGAGCCUUAGAAACUUUUGUAGUUAAUGCGACGGUUGCCUUUUCCUUUCUCAAGGAAAACGGCUCGUCUUUUAAUGCAAUAAUUGCCUUUUCUCGAUUUUCCAAAAAUGAUAACCCACUCGGAAACGCUACCAUUAAUGGAUUUAUGGUUCCAAGACAAACCCUAAAUCAUUAUAAAUAAAGGCUUACCUACCUCUAGGCUUUAUUAAACAUGACUAUAGAAUCUCACUUGAGAAAUAUUUUAAGAAUGGAAAACGAAGAAGUAGCCCCCAUCGCUCCCGGCAGCCCACUUUUCUUGUCCGGCGACGGAUUUGAACCGGCUGGCGUUCUCUUUCCUCACGCCGUCUUUCACUUCCCUUCAAAGGAGAAGAAAGAGGCUUGCGACUUCAUCGACAAGGUAAAUAUUUAAAGUUUUUGACUUAAAAACAUUUUGCUUCAUCUUAUUCACUUUUUUUUAUGUUAGGUCGCCGACAAGCACCGUCGCUUAUGUGAAGAGAGGCAGCGGCUGGGCCUCAAAAGGCAAACACUCGAGGCUCGCAUCGCUCGAGUGGAGAGGAAGAUACGGGCCUUGGAAAGCGAUCCCUUUCAAUGGGAGUGGCGGAACUUCGACUCCGUUGCUGAGAUCCCGAAGAUGCUUCGGAUGUAUCUCCGCGCCAGAGGAGUCCCAGGUCCCGUGAACGCCCCUGUCUGCGCCGUUCCAUCCGACAGUGAAGAGGAAGAGGACUUGGAGGAGGAGGCCAGCAACUGCCGGAAACGCGUUCGGGAUCGUUCCGAAGUGGAUGCCACGAACAAGGCGUCCACUUCGGAAACUAAACCGGCGAUGAAGGAGCCUGUUCCUGAGCCUCUCCCAUAAAUGUUCUUUUAACUUCUUCACUUUCUUUUUUUUUUUUAAAAACUCGUAAUGGGCUUCGGCCCUUUUUAUUUAUGGAAAUAUUUGCUACUUUCCUUUCUUUCCAAAUAUUCUUGGAGAUGCGUCUUUUAAUGCAUGAUCCAUUCGAGGGCAUAAAUCUCUCCGCGAAUCACUCCAUUCCUUGGAUAAAAUCCGCAGCUUGCUAAGGAUAUGGGGUUCCUAUAAAUUAUAGGUUCAAUUUCCUUUUACUUCUCAUCCUUUUUUUCAUUUUAGCAGGUAUGGAGUUCAAUCUUCGCUGUUCAGAAUCUAUGCCCGACUUCUCCAGAAUCGGAAUGAUGAAUGAAGAUGUUUCAAAUGAGCCAAACAGGCAGCCUUCCCCACUUCGCGGCUUCUCGAGAUCUCAGAUCCAAGCUCCAUGUGCUUUGAUCAGGAAUCUCCCAAUCAGAGACCAAGGAACAGCGACGGCGUUCAUAGAGACACUUGAGCUUCAACACCGGAAGCUUAUGUCGGAAAAGAGGAGACUCCGGAAGAGGAUUAACCGGAUGCAACACAGGCUUACUACAGUGUCAAGAAAUCUUCACAUCCUUGAGUCUCACCCCGGAGAGUGGAUUGAGCUUGGAAUCUCUGACUUUGCUCGAAUUCCGGACUGCAUGAUGUCAAUCCUCGAUCUUGCUGGUCAAGGAGUUGAAGUGUUCUGCUCGUCAACAGAGAUUUCGUAGUUCGAAGUGUACGAUGUGGGACACUUCUUUUUUUUUUUUUUUUGAAUAAAACGCUUUACUUCCAAUCUCUUGUAUGUUCGCAUAGCCGAACCUUCUUCCUUUAAUAAAGAAAUAAAACAAAAACUUUAUUAAUAGCUGAACCCGUUUUCGAGCUGCCUACGUACCCAUUUCGGGAUCAAGCCAAAUCGUAGUUCAUGUACAUAAACAAUGCAUUAAACAUAAAAUUUCUUUAGGUUGAUCACAUUCCAAGGUCGCUUGACCGGAUUGUCUUCUAAGUCUUUCAACCUAUAAACACCGUUCCGAACCACUUCAGUAAUGAUGUAAGGUCCUUCCCAAUUAAUACCAAGUUUACCGGCACCUUCUUCUUUUUUGUUGUCAAAGACGCGCCUUAAUACAUAAUCUCCCACGAAGAACGGCCUACUUUUAACUUUAGAAUUGUAAUACCGGGCUGCUGCUUGUUGGUAAUUCUGGAUCCGAAUUAGAGCUUGAUCACGCCUUUCAUUUAUGGUAUCUAGUGAAUCAUUAAGCAUUGCUGAAUUUUCUUCCUCAUUUAACGGUGCUUCCGUUCGGCGAAGUCCGGGCACAUUGAGUUCGGCUGGUACUACCGCUUCCAUGCCGUAAACCAAAGAGAAUGGAGUUUCUCCUGUAGGUCGUCUAGGGGUUGUUCGAUAGGCCCACAGGACGGGCUGGAGUUCUUCAUACCAUCCUCCCUUUAGAUGACUUAAGCGUUUCUUGAGAUUGCUUAAUAUUGUCUUGUUCGCGGCUUCAGCUUGUCCGUUUCCUUGCGGAUAUCGUGGAGUAGAAUAACUAACUUUGAUUCCCCAGUCCGCACAAAAGGCAUCAAACUCGUGUGAAAUGAAUUGUGGUCCAUUAUCAGUGACUAUUUCGUACGGAACUCCAUGUCGACAUAUAAUGUUCUUCCAAAUAAAAGUCUUCACCGCCGAAUCCUUGAUACCAACAUACGCCUCAGCUUCAAUCCAUUUCGAAAAGUAGUCCGUAAGGACUAAAAGGUACUGUACACCUCGAGUUGAUUUGUGCAAUGGUCCAAUGAUGUCCAUUGACCACCUCAUAAACGGGUAUGGGGCGGAAAUGGAGGAGAAUAACUCUGACGGUUGAUGGAUUAAUGGCGCAUGGAGUUGGCAGCGCUUGCAUCUUUGGGCGAACUUAACACAAUCUGUGAUCAUAGUGGGCCAAAAGUACCCCAUUCUUUUAACUUUAAAAGCCAUAGCUCUUCCUGAUGAAUGACUUCCACAUAAUCCUUCAUGCACUUCGCUCAUGACGAUUUCGACUUCGGGCCCAAAAAUGCAUAAUAGGUAAGGGUCACUAACACCUCGCCUAUAUAACGCAUCUUUUGAUAGGCAAAAUUUCGCGCUAACGACUUUCAUUUUCCUGGCCUGCCAUUUAUUCUUUGGGAGCUCGCCUGUCGUGAUGUAGUGCUUUAUUGGCUCCCUCCAGUCAGCCCCCCAGUCUUUAGCCGGAAUUUGGUCAACUCUGUGAAAUAUCCGUGGCUCUGGUUCGGGAUGUUCGUUUGGUUCAAGAAUAUUCUCCUCGAGUAAUGGCUCGGUUUCUAACAUCGUUUCUGGAAUCAUUUCUUCAGCUAAGACAACGGGUUCCUUGUUAGAUGUAUUUGAUCCCUUUGACUUUCUUCGUUUGUUGGGUGGCGGUUCGAUCUCUGGUUCGCCACGGUCGCGUGCCGCUGCUCGAGACCUUGUAACGACGAGGGUUUCCUUGCUGUCUUGAAUGCUUCGCUCCGAGAUGCAUUCUACUGGAAUAACUCUCUUUAACUCAGGAUCUGAUGUUGACGCCAAUGCGGCAAGUGCAUCUGCAGUUGUAUUCUCUCCCCGAGGUAUACGGAUUAAUUCAAAUUUCGAGAAAUUUUUAGAUAGAUCCUUCACCACUUCGAGGUAUGCUUCCAUUCUUGAAUCUUUGGCCUCAUAGUCUCCAUUAAAUUGGUUAACUACUAAUUGCAAAUCGCAAUAAGCCAAUAUUUCCUUUGCUCCAACUCUUUGUGCUAGUCGAAGUCCGGCAAUAAGGGCUUCAUAUUCUGCCUCGUUGUUGGAGGCAUUAAAUAACAAUCGGAAUGAUUGUUCUAGAAUUUCUGAUGUUGGAGACUCCAACUUGAUUCCCACUCCUGAUCCUUGUUUUGUUGAAGACCCGUCUACGUGUAAUUUCCAAGUUUGGUUCUCCGGUUGCUCUAUCGUUCCAGGUAUUGGUAGUUCGGUCAGGAAGUCUGCUAAGACCUGAGCCUUCAUACUGAUCCGGCUUUUGAACUCUAUGUCGUACUCGCUUAAUUCCACCGCCCAUUUCGCCAAACGUCUGGACUGACUUGGACUAUGAAGUAUUGUUCGGAGUGGUUGGUUAGUUAAUACUUCAACCGGAUGGGAUUGAAAAUAUGGACGCAGCUUCCGAGCCGAAGUUACCACCGCGAGUGCGAGUUUUUCCAUCAUUGUGUAUCUGGUUUCUGGAUCCGUCAUUGACUUGCUCACGUAGUAAAUUGGUUUCUGCUCCCCACGGUCUUCCCGAACCAAGACUCCACUAACCGCGUGGUUUGAAACUGAUACGUACAAGUAAAGUUUUUCAUCUACUUCCGGUUUGGACAGUACAGGUGGAGUGGUUAAGUAUGCCUUAAGCUGCCCAAAAGCUUCUUCACACUUCUCAUCCCAAAGGAAUCCUUUGUUCCCUUUUAGAAUUUGGUAGAAAGGCAACAACUUAUCUGUUGACCUCGAGAUAAAACGGUUCAAAGCCGCAAUCCGCCUAGUCAACCGUUGUACUUCUUUGAAGUUUCUUGGAGAUGGCAUGUUCAGAAAGGCGUUAAUUUGAUUUGGAUUGGCUUCAAUCCCUCUUUCUGUCACGAUAUAGCCAAGAAAUUCUCCGGAUGGGACUCCAAAUGUGCACUUCGCCGGGUUCAGCUUCAUUUGAUAUUUAUUGAGAAUAUCAAAACAUUCCUCCAAAUGUUUAACAUGAUCUUCUUUCUUCAAUGAUUUAACCAACAUAUCAUCUAUGUAGACUUCCAUAGUCUUCCCGAGGUGAUUGUGAAACAUUUUGUUCACCAAUCGUUGGUAAGUUGCUCCUGCAUUUUUCAAACCAAAAGGCAUUACCUUGUAACAGUAGAUACCUCUAUCUGUGAUAAAUGACGUCUUUUCUUGAUCUUCGGGGUUCAUCAUUAUCUGAUUAUAACCCGAGAAGGCGUCCAUGAACGUUAACAGCUCAUUUCCAGCGGUGGACUCUACAAGUCGAUCUAUAUGCGGGAGCGGAAAACUAUCUUUAGGGCAUGCUUUAUUCAGGUCUGUAAAAUCGAUGCAAACCCUAUCUUUCCCGUUCUUUUUCUUGACAACGACAGUGUUUGCUACCCACUCCGGAUAUUGCACUUCUCUUAUGGACCCUAUCUUCAAAAGUUUAUCCACUUCGUCGUUUACUAUUUUUGCCCGCUCCACUCCUAGCUUUCUUCUUUUUUGUUUUACCGGUUUGAAGCUUGGAUCUACAUUUAGUUCAUGACAAAUUAUACUCGGAUUUAUGCCAGGCAUGUCCGCUGCUGACCAUGCAAAUGAUGCUUUGUUUUUCCUUAAGAGUUCGAUCAAAGCUUCUUUUAUUUGGCCAGUCAACGUUGCUCUAAUUCGAAUUUUCCGAUCUGGUUUAUCUUCUUCUAAUACUACUUCUACUACCACAUCCUCUUUUUCCUGCCCACUAGGAAAUUUUUGCCUUAGUCCUUCUUUUGCGGGCUUUGUUAAUUGCUAUUGGAUCUUCAAACGGUGGCUAGCUAAGUAACAACUCCGCGAAGCUUCUUGAUCUCCCCGAAUCGUUUCCACCCCAUUUGAUGUUGGAAAUUUGAUACAUUGAUGGUAUGUAGAGGGGACUGCUUUCAUCCGAUAAAUCCAGGGAGUCCCGAGGAUGAUGUUGUAAGCUGCGGGCUUAUCGAAGACAACGAAGUCCACGAUCUUCGAUACCUUCUUGGCAAGGACCGGUAGCUUGAUUGUUCCGAGAGACAUGGCUGACUCGCUUGUGAAUGCAACUAACGGAGAUGGGGGUCCUACUAUGUCUCCUCGGCUGAUUCCCAUUUUUUCUAGAGUACUUAAAAAGAUUAAGUCGACCGAACUGCCUGUAUCUAUAAGGAUCCUCGAUACUUCGAAGUUGGCGACAUCAAGGGUAAUGACUAGAGCAUCAUCAUGAGGCCUUUCGAGGUACCGCGUUUCUUCUUCAUCGAAUGAUAUUGAUGCACCUUGAAAAUCGACUUCUUCGCUUAAGCUUGCUUUGAGUAAGACAUUUCGUCGAUGCUUUUUGAUUGAACUUAUUGAAUCUCCGCAAAAUCUGGAUCCUCCUAGAAUCACAUUGAUCUUACCCUUAGAACUCCUUGGUUCUUCCUCGUUGGACAAUCUUGGUCUUUUGGAAUCUUGAUCUUUGGAGUUUUCCCUUGCUUCGUGGUAUUCCUUCACAAAAUCUUUUAUAUCGAAUUUAGAAAGAUCGCCACUAGCCCAAAGCUCUGCGAGGUGCUUUUUAAGAACGCUGCAAUCCUUGGUUAAAUGUCCGGUUAUUUUAUGAAUGUCGCAAUAUAGGCUUUCAUCACGGACCCAAGUGCUUGAUCUUCCUUUCCCUUGGAAUUGCUUCCCGACGGUAUUGUUGAAGGGUUGCGACCCAAACUUCCUUGGUCCUUUGCUCUCUCUAGGCUCGAACUUCUUGGUAGGGACGGUGAUUGCCGGCUUUUCUUGUUUAUUCCGUUUGGCAAAACUUUCUUUUUCGUCUUCUACCUCCAUCCAGUUGUUUGCGCGGAAGAGUGCAUCCUGAAUUGUGUCUGGUUUAUGAAGUAUUAAGUCUUCUUUAAACCUUGAAUCAUGUCGCAAUCCUUUUCGUAGGGCAGAUAAAGCUGAUUGCUGUGAGAUUCUUGGGAGUUUUGACAGCACUCCUUUGAAUUUGGUGAUGAAAACUCGAAGUGACUCAUUAGAUCCUUGCGUUAAGUUCCAAAGAUCGGCAUCCGAAACGCUUUUAUCCAUAAGGAUAGAGUAUUGCUUUAAGAACUCGGCUGAUAGUUCGUCGAAAUUGCUGAUCGAACCCGGCUCUAAUUGGGUGAACCACAUUAGAGCUUGGCCACACAGAUUCUCCGAAAAAAGCUUGCAGUAACCUGCAUCCUCAUCAGCUUCAUCCAAUUCGACUCUUCCAGCAGCGAUCAGAAAAGCUGCAAGAUAGCUUUUUGGAUCCUCCAAUCCGCUGUAAGGGUCCAAUUUGAGUUUCCGGGAAUCUUUGAUCCUUAAACUUGCAAUUCGCGGGAUAAAAGGGGUUCGCCUAGCUUCUUCAAUGACUCGAUUGAUGUCUGGCUCCGAACUUGUAGCCUGAUGAAAUUUUGAUUUCAUUUCUUUUAAUUCCUGGCUAACCUUCCUCAUGGUCUCGAACUGGUCGAGGUUCUCCUGCUCGUACUGAGCUGCAAGUUGUUCUUCAUCCCCGAGCUGCGUCUCUUCUUCCGACGUCUGAGCUACAUUAUUAGUAGCACCGGGAGUUGUUUGUCCGCUGGUUUCAUUUCGUGCAGCGGAACUUGGCGAGUUGAAUAUCCCUCUUCGGGUUCCCACCGGGUUUCCUGCACUUAAGGAGCGAACACGAGUUUGUAUAUUAUUGACGUUUUGACUAAGAGAUACCUGGGAUGUUUGUAACGUAUCGACGGCCUUCUCCACAUCCGAGAACUUUUGUGAUAUGUCCGACAUGGUUUGCUGCAUAGCUUUGAGGGUUUCGGCCAAUGAUGUCUCAACGGCGUCUCCUCCGGACAUUAUCGCUUAUCUUGGAAAUGUAGAAAAGAAGAAAUCUGACCACUCAAGAAUCCUGAUAUCCCCACAGACGGCGCCAAAAUGUGGAAGUCGGAUUCACACACUCAAGUAUUUUGUUAAGUGGGAAAGAUUAUUCUUGAGGGACAAAAAUAAAUAUGUAAAAAACUUAUAAAUCGAUACGAAAAUUGCUAUAGUAUUUCUCUCUUGAGAGGAAGAUCCCCUUUUCAUGGCCAUUGGCCUCUAUAUUUAUACAUAAAUAAACGACAUUAAAAUGAGUAAUUAAGCACAAUUAUUUCUUCUUAAAUGUGUCCGUUUUGAUUCUUCGGCUUUAAUGCUCAACGUUUGAAUUUGAGUUGACUCUGAUCUUCAUGGGCCUCGCCUCUUUUGGCCCAAGUGUCCUUGAACCGACUUGCCCAUGCCUUUUUCAUUGAACUCGUGUCACAGUGCAGUCACUUCGGAUUCUCGAAAUGGUGACAACCAUUUCGAACAUCCCUUCGGCUCACGGGUCCAAUGGGCUUCAUCUUUUAUGGGCCAUUACCCUGAUUACGUGGCAAUCUUUGGUUGGUCUCGUACUUCUGGUGCGGGAUCCGACACCAACACCAAUAACCGGACUUUACCGUGUAAUUUCCGGAUUUUGUAUGAGACCUACUAAAACCAUCGCUCAAGUAAGUACAACUUGGUCGGAUCCCUAAGAUGACUGGAAUAUCUACAGGAUUAAUCAAAGAUUGAAUGCGAUCCAAUUUCCACGUCUUCAAGGUUUGGUCGAUGAGGUCAUUAACAUAGAGAUGUGGAUCUCUAAUGUUAAGAAUGCUCUUUGCAGGCCGUGCAAGAAUGGUAGGAAUCCACGGGUCUUCCCAAACUCGGGUUAACAUUCCAGAGCCAAUGGUCCGUCGAAGGCCUGAAACAAGUAGUGGUUUGGCCGCCAUAAUACUCCUCCAUCCAUAGGAGGGACGAUUAGAAUUUCCAAUAUGUAGAGGAUCACUAAAUCAAAAAUAUCUACCUCUCAAGACCCUGCUCAAAAGAGAAUUUGGGUAUCUAAGGAGGCGCCAAAGUUGUUUUGCUAAUAGAGCAAGAUUAAAUUCUUCAAGCGUUCUAAAGCCCGGGCCGCCAUCAGAGUGUGGCGUGCAAAGCUUAUUCCAAGCAAUCCAGUGGAUACCAUUACUAUGUUCAUUAGUUUUCCAUCAGAAAUUCGCAAUUGCACUACUCAACUUUGAGCGGAUAGCCUUAGGGAGAAGAAAACACGACAUGACAUAUGUCGGAAGGGCCUGUGCUAUGGAUUUUAUAAGGACCUCUUUGCCUCCUUUGGACAAUAAUUUAGCGGACCAAGUAUUAAGUUGUUUUUGAAGCCUAUCCCUCACGAAAGCGAAAACUUGAGUUUUGGAGCCAUGAAUCUUCUCUGGUAAUCCCAAGUAUGACCACAUGCCCCCAUCUUGGAAAAUACCCAAAGACUCCUUGAUAGUAUUUCGGGCUAAGUUGUCAACAUCAUGGCCAAACAUAACCGAGGACUUUACAGUAUUUAACUGUUGUCCCGAAGCCUCGCCAUAAAUGCGGAGAAUUUUGAUGAUUUCCUCUCCUUGGAUUGGGUCUGCUUUACAGAAAAAUAAGCUAUCGUCCGCGAAGAGGAGGUGGGAGGUAGAAGGGCUAGCAGGAGAAAUUUGAAGACCUUGAAUUCUGCCAUGCCAUUAUGCUUCUUUGAGGUUAGCCACCAGAGCUUCGGUACACAAAAUAAACAGAAAAGGAGAAAUAGGGUCUCCUUGUCGAAUUCCCUUCGUCGGUGUAAUGGACCCUCUCGGUGCUCCAUUCAAAAGAACUUUAUAAGAGACUGAUGAAAUGCAAAAAGAGAUCAAAUCUACCCAUUUUUGAGCGAAGCCCAUUUUGAGCAUUAGGGCUUGUAAAAAUGACCACUCUACCCGAUCGUAUUCUUUACUCAUGUCCGUUUUUAUAGCCAUAAACUUUUUCUUGCAUGCCGGAUUGGUUCGUAGAGCAUGAAAAUUUUCUUGCGCUAUAAGAAUGUUGUCUGUAAUAAGUCUUCCCGACACAAAGGCAGAUUGAGUCUCAGAAAUUAAUUCCGGAAGAAGUUUUUUAAGAUGGGAGCUAAGGACCUUUGAAAUAACUUUGUAACUCACAUUACACAAGCUAAUUGGUCGGAACUCUGUCAUUUUCCUCGGUCUAUCAGUUUUUGGAAUCAAACAGAUAUUUGUCUCAUUCAACCGCUUAUCGAAAGAGCCUGAAGAAUGGAAGUCUUGAACUACUUUUACUAAGUCCGGCCCGGUUAAAUCCCAAAACCGUUGGUAGAAAAGGGCUGUCAUUCCAUCCGGGCCCAGAGUUUUGUCCGGGUUGAGCGAAAAGAGGGCUCGUCUAACUUUCUCAGGGGAAAUUUCUUUUAUAAGAUUCUGGUUCAUAGCUUCCGAGAUCAAAACUGGCACGUCCCAAAGGGCGGAAUGGAAGUCUUGUGGCUUUGAAGUAAUGAAGAUAUCUCUGAAGUAGUCCACCGCUAAACCCUCUAUAUCCACUUCACUAUCAACCCACAUACCAUCUUGGUUUAACAACCCAAUGAUCUUGUUUUUUGCUCUUCUUUGCUUGGUAAUAGCAUGGAAGUAUUUAGUGUUCUUAUCGCCGACUUGGAACCAUCCCUACUCUUUGCCCUCCAAAAGAUCUCCUCUUCCCUGUAGGCAUCGCAUAGUUUCCAUUUUAGGGCUAACAAAUCUUCUGCAAAGAUGGCCACAUCUUCCUGGGCUUGGUCAAUUUGAUUUUGUAAGUCUAUAAUCAACUUCUCAGAGUUUGUAGAACUCGAUUUCUUCCAAAUAGAGAUAGUUUUUCUACAGCUUGAAACUUUUUGCAAAAGAGGAACACCUUCUUGAGAAGGGAAAGUCCAGCCUUGAAUGACCGAUUCUUUGAACCCCGGUUUGCCAAUCCAUCUUUUAGCAAAAAUAAAAUUUUUGACAAACCGGUGAGGACUAUUCUGAAUUGAAGCUAGGAGGGGUCUAUGAUCAGAGCCCCAUAAUUUUAAAUACUCCACAUUUGUGUGGGAGAAAAUUGUGUGCCAUUCUUCAUUACCCAAAGCUCUAUCUAACCGCGAUUUGAUAAGACGACGAACUCUCCGACCCGUAACGCCACAACUACGACGCCCCACCCAGGAGAACAAGUUACCCUGAGAUGGAACCUCGAUCAUUCCACAAUUUUCAAUCAUACAACGGAAAGGAAGGAACGAUGAUUCCGACCGACGUUUACCGCCUCUCUUCUCAUGGUUUCCAGUAAUUUCGUUAAAAUCACCGAUCAUAAACCAUGGAUCAGAACGAGUAAUGCCAAUACGAGUCAAACGCUCCCAAACUAGUUCUCGGUACUGAACGACCGGAUCUCCAUACACAAAAGUAAUAAAAACUCUGUUUCCAUCAAUAAUAGUCUCAAUAUCAAUAAGCCAAUAUCAAUAAGCCGAUCACUAACAAAACCAAACUUAACCGGAUAGUCCUUUGAAUAAAAAAGAGCGAGACCACCACUGUUACCACUUGGUUCAACAGUUUUUAGUGAAUCAAAACCUAAAGAUACUUGCAUAUUUUGAAGAUGUGUAAGGUCAUUUUUAGUUUCCGAUAAAAAAAAAAAAGAAAACCUGGAGAAUACAUACGACACAUUUCCUCCAGUCGACGAGUCGUAAGUUGCGCACCCGCCCCUUGACAGUUCCACGCUAGAAUCCUCAUGUAUUAGUUCCGGAAGGAGAAUAAAACCUCGCCGUACUAAUAAUUGAGAAAAUACUCUCCAUAAAAAAGGAGGAAUAUGAUAUAAUCCGGAUAAUACAAAUGAAUCUUAAAGCCAAACUUCUUAUUUUGGUGGGCCAAACAGGCUUUAAGUCCAUAAAACUUUCUAGGCUUAGACAGACCUGAAUAAAAACGUAAAUGGGCCAAGCCCAAACCCGUUUUAAUAGCAAAUAUCCUAAAACGAUACUAUCUCGACCUAGCUCGGUCAUAAUGGAGAUGGAGCGACGGCGAGACUCGGUGGUGAAGAACGGUGGUUGUGCGGUGGAUGACGCAUCACCGAAAUGAAGGAGACACGAAGCCAACACUUGUCUCACCGGUACACGAGUCAACCAGUGGAAAAGGAGUGAGAUAGAGAGCUUCCGCCGACACAAAAUUUCAGCCAUGGGGGCCGAGAAGGCGCCAACAAUGGUCGUGGCAACCGGCAAGAGAUAUUUAGUGGCCGAGCCAUAGAUGGGUCUCGACGGCGGCAAGCCGCACAGUCGGAAUAAACAACAAACUUUUUGAAUCAUGUAAAUAAAAUAAUUUCUCCUUGAGCCAAGAACACCCGAGAGUAACAAGUUUGACACAACAUUAUAACUUAGCAAAUUGCUAGAAUUAGUGAGGGGAGUUCAAAUCUAUUGACGGAGAUCCAAGAGCAUCACUUCGUCACCGUCCGUACAAGCCAUCACGAGAGAGAGAACCUUGUUCUGUGAGAACGGAGAGAAGCGGAGGAGAUCGCCGGCGAGAAGAGAGACCAACGAUGCCGGAGAAUGGAAGUCGCCGGAGAGGUCUCGCAAGAGGAGCAAGCACCGAUCAGUAAAGGCUACCAUCGGAGAAGCAACGCCGGAGGGAGAAAGCCAUUUCGUCAAGGUCUUGCGGUUCCUCGUGAAAAAGCUAGUUUAUUUCCUCCUUCAAACUCGUUCUCUCUUGCAGAUCUAGGCCCAAUUAGUACAGCUUCAAGAGAAAAGAUAGGAUGGGAGAGAUGAGGAAGACAAGAGAAGCUCGGAUCUGUUGUCGGAGAUCCGAUCUCAACAUUUCGCCACUGUCCGUACAAGGCCGUACAAUCUCCUCUUCAGAGAGAUGUGUUCUAUCAGUCUGUAUAACUGUUUUCCUGCCUAAAAUAAUUCCAUCAAGUAGUUACUCCACUACACAAAUACUUGCUAACAUAUAUCUUCUAUGUAACUAUGUUGAUGGAGCAUAUAUUUGUAUAUAUAUUGUAAACAAAAAACCAAAUUUAUGAAGAAAAUUUUAUGGAGCAUUGAGUUAUCACUCUCUAUCUACUACCAGCUUGAUUGACAUGUUCAAUCUACUAAUGUUAUUUUUGUGGGUAGAACCCAAAAACUAAUGUUAUUUUGAAAGUUUGUGCAGUGUGUGCUAUAAUUGUCCAAAAAACUUGUUUUAGUACUAUUUUAGAAUAUUUCUCUAUAAAAAUAAUAUUUUAAUUAAUUAUUAUUAAUCAUAUAUAACUUUAAUCAAAAUAUAUAGAACAAAUCCACGCGUAUCGUGGAUUCAAAACCUAAUUCAAUAAAAAAAAUAGAAAAAAUAGUCUACCAAAUAAUAUUUUAUGGAUUGUCUAUGUGAAAACUAACAUUUUUUUGAAGUAUAUUAUAUAGCGUCCUUAGCAAUUUUAGAUUUUUCAUUAAAAAUAACACUUCAUGACUGUUUUGGCGUUACAUAUGUGAUUGUGUUAUUUGUAUAUAACUGAAACACGUCUACUACUAAUAACGCUUCAUCAGAAAAGUUGUUCCCUGAAGGCCUUCUAUUCAGUUCUCCAGAAAAACAAAUACUAUUAGAGCAUGUAUAUGGGUGAUAUCCAUAUAGUAUCAUUAGGAAUUUUUUAGUAUUAUUUAUAAUGUUUGUUUAUUGUUUGAGAUUUUUUAUGAUACUUCUACUAAAUAUGUUUGCAUUGGUGUGACCGGUUUAAGUAUCAUAAAAAAAAAUUACAAAAUCAAAAAUAAAUAUAUUAAAACAUAAGAUUACAAAAGGUAAUAUUAAGAUUUAAAAAAAACGUAGAAUAUACUUAAGCAAAAUAAAACAUAAAAUUCAAAAAAACUGAAAAAAAACAUGAUGAUAAAAAUAAUUUAGUCGCUUGUAGUCAAUUACCUUGACUCCAUUGAAAAUCUAUAUGUUGUGGUAUGUCUUUUAGUGAGUUGAUGAAACUUAGAUAUUGGUUCCUCCAGAACCAUUUUAUUUGUCUGAUGUAUAUUUCUUGCUUGUUUGAUAACCCCUUUAUGUGAUUGAUGCCAAAUUCAAGAAACGUGUAGUAUCUGCAAUUUUUGGUGUGUAGUAUCUGCAAUUUUUGGUGUGUAGUUUCAAAUUUUAUUAUUCACAUUGGUGUUAAUUAUGUAGACAGAAUCCAACAUGUGGCAUAAGUUCUCUGAUCAGUGCUAUUAAAAAUUGAUACUCUGUUUCGUUUUUAGGCUGUUUGAGAACUGCUUCCUUGCAAAAAUUAGUAUAAGAAGAAUUUGGCACCUACAGUGUUUUACUAAACAAAUUCUUAACCUUGUCGAUGAAAGAAUAUACGAUGUAGAACCACGCAAUGCUCCAAGGAGAAUCAAAUGAGAGAGAUGCGAGUAUCCCAAGAAGUAUUGUCACAUAGGCUGCAGCAAGACUCCAAUAGAAAGACACCAUGUCAUUGAAAGAUUCAUCAUCUUCCACUUCACUAUCUGGUUCUUGAAAGUUAUUGUUGUUGCAGGUCAGAAGAUGUGUUAAUGAUACUUUGCAGCAGAAGAUGUGUUAAUAAAGUCUCACUUACACCAAUUCUGUGAUUUUUUUCACUCUUGCAGGUAGAGGGAAUGCCACAGACUGCAAAGUAGAGAGCUACAUACCCUCCAAGUGAGUUCCUUGCAAUGUACUCAGAAACUUAUUCAAGUGAAAUCUUGAUCUCAAACUAUAACACAAACAGAAUUAAAGAACAUGGAUGAAUUCUAAUAUCUAUUGCAUCCUGAACUUUCCCAUGCCCAAAGCAAUACCAGAAGACUCCAUACCCACACUAUCAGGUGUUGAGCUGGAAACUAUUAAAAUCCAUGAGUCUACGGCACAUAGCAACAAUCUAUAAUGAAAAAAGCUAACACACUGCACCUCCAAAAUCUCCUAUACUUUCCAACAUUAAAGGUUCUGAAUUCAUGAUUAACAAGUCAAUAAACAACGACUAUUGAAUUCUAAGACCAUAUAUUCCCAAAUCAGUCUUAUACGUUCAUGAGACAAACAAAUUAAACAACCAAUUCCAUCAGACAUAGCAGAACGAGCAACAUAGAUACAAAAAUCAAAACUUUCAAUACCAAACUCGUUAUGUAACACAGAAAGACAGAGAACAAACCACCUAAGGCAAAAGGGAACCAAAGUUCAUACAUUUCUUCAAAGGCUUAUUAGUGGCCUUAACCGCAGCUGGAGCUAGGUUUUCGAGAGAGAGUUGAGAAAGAGGUGAAAAACCCUAAACGGCGGAGGAGAGAUGAGAUCGAAUCUAAACAGAAGAAAUGGAGAAGUGAAAUGGAUCGAAGAGAUGAAGCCGGAGGGGAAGCGGAGGAGAGAAAAUCGCCGGAAGCGGAGGAGAAGCAAAGGAAUGAUCGGGAAGCCAGAAUCAGCGAAGGAGAGAAAUUCGGUGGGUUUCUCUCGCGAGAGAAGAGAAGAGAGAACAAAAUGAUUUUUUUUUUCCACUGCUUUCGGGAAAACGCAACCAAUCAACAGCCGCCAUGUCAUCUGAUACUAGGUAUCAGAAGUUUCACUGGACUGAUACGGAUCAGGCCCGUUUUAACUGUUUGAUCCUUUAAAUAAUAUUUUUUGGGCUUCUGAUACUGUAAAAGUAUCACCCAUACACAUGGUCUUAGUUUCUUAAGGACUUUUCAAAAAGUGUUUUGCAAAUUAAAUUUCUACAAAGUGCUAGAGCAGAUCAUCUCUAACCUAAAAAGGACAAGAAUCUCACACCUAUAAAAUUAUUCUUUUACAAUGGUGAGUUUGUGUACGGUCCCACAAAUAGACACAACUAAUUAUCUAUCUAUUGAAUAAUUUAGAUGAAUUUCAGAAAAUCUGAAAUUAUAAAACUACUAUAUGCAUAUAUCUUAUGACAAUCAAUAGUUAAAAAUUCAACAAGUUUGGAAAGAAGUUUUUUUAUUUUUAAGUUGGAAUAUAGUUUUUUUUUUUUUUUUUUUUUUUUUAACUAAGAGGGGUUUUGGGUCUAGGCCUUAAUCCCCCCAUGGACCAGGAACAGCCUUUGCUAAUACCUUAUAACAUGGCGUAAAGCAUCCCUUCUACCGAGUUGGAAAAUAGUUAAAAACACCAAAUCAACAACAUAAAGAUAGAUAGGGAUAAUGAUGAUCGUACAAAACACAUCCUAUAUUAAUAAUGCGAGAUGAUCGAUAUUUGAAGACAAAAACCUUCUCUCUUAUUAGCACAUUGUGGGAGGAAGCCAAAACAUGCGACCGGGUGGUGGAGUAGAGUCGGAGAGAUAACGUAUGGUGCGAGAGGCGAGAUCACAUAUGCCAAAACCGGAACUAUGUCCAGCAAAGUAGACAGAGUUAGGGUUAAGACCAGGGAAGUCCUUGGCAGAGAGACAGAAAGAUUCAUUCUCGCCCAAGAAAAUGCAGAGAUCGCCAAUGUCAUCGGUAUAAGGACCAAUCCCUUGCUCUUCGUCUUGCCGAAACACCAUGAUCUUGUGGGUCUUCCUGCAAAGGUCUUUUCUGUUUAUGUAACGUGCGUCUCCCCAUGUCGCAACUUCUCCUUUGUCCGUAAAUCUCUCCACAAACCUGACAACAACACAGAUGAACUCAUCUUCAAUCCCUUAUAACAACACAAAGUAGAGAAAAAGACAGAAGAAUGGGUUUUUAUUACCAUGCAACGAUGAAGGAUUGGCCCGAAGCUGACUCGACUAGUUGUUGUUGGAUCCUGAAACGAGAGAGACGCAUUUCGUUCUUCAACUCUGGUAAUUCGUCAAGAAAGUUAGAGAAGAGGAAUCUCUUGUAGCCACUAACCGGAGUGGGAAAACCGGUUUUCGGUGUGAAAUCUGUUGGACCAGUGUAGUCAGGGUUACAAUUGUUCAAGUAAAAUCUCCGGUCUCUCUCCGAGUAAAUGACGGUAGAAGAAUGGAAAGAUGGGCAAGGCACGUUGAUGCGAGUCCACUCGGAGUCACCAGUUCGACAAAGACUGACUCGUGACCCGUAAAACUUGACGGCGACUACACAAUCUUCUUCAUUUGAAGAUGAGACAGAGACAUUAACAUGGUGUUCAUAUUUGUCUCUGGUUAUUGGAGGUAAAGAAAUGAUCUUCUUCGAAGGGUUUAAGAUGUUAGUGAGACGCACUGUUAAAUCUUUCUUGUUCACCAAAGCUAACCAUCCUCUUGAUGAUCCUAUCCUACGAGAUUUAUAGACCUCCUUUGAUAGAAUCUUGUUUUCGAUCUUCACUUGCUCUUGUCUCCUCGGAUCGUAUAGGUUAAAGUUGACAACUUUUCCACCGCAAGGAGAUAUUCCGACAACAUCGUCGCCGAGGAGGAGGUAAGGUGUUGCCGCCGCCGUGGCCGUAGAGAAUUUUGACCGUCGGAAACAGAGGAAAUGGUUCCGGGCUGAUGAGAGCUUUGAGAUUCGGCACAACAAAAGCUGAGACAUUGUUGUAAAACCCUAAUUUAGGAGAAGAGAGUCAAAGACAGCAAAACCCUACAAAAUCCAAACUUUGUUCUUUCCUUGUGGAAUAAUUUAUUAGAGGUGCAAGAAAAUGUAAAGUUUCUAUAACCGGAAAAAGCCUGUGAAGAAAAUUCAGAAACACACCCAGUAUUUCUAUGCUGUUUUUAACAUUACCCCACUAUUAAUAGUUGUUACAUAGAAGUUCCUGUCUGGUAUAUAAAUGAUCAUGAUUCAUAUGCACAUAUUUAGGUUUGAUUUUCUAUAAAACUCCACAUUUGAACAGAUCAAUACGCUGUCCUAUGACAUAGGAAUACCAUAUGUGCUGCGAUUAAGCAUUAUAAAAUCAAAGGAAAUGAUCAGUUAGGCUUAAAUCGAUAAUCUAUUUAGGGGUGUCAAAAUGGGUUAAUACCCAUGGGUAACCCGAACCCGCCCAUGAUUUUAGUGGGUUUGGGUAGAAUUUUUUUACCAAUAUAUAUAAAUGGGUUUUAGUGGGUUACCCUAUUAGGGUUAUGGGUUUAAUGGAUAAAACCCAUUAGGGUCAUGGGUUACCUAUGGGUUUCAUAACGAAAAUUAAAAAGUAAAAUUUAUAUAUAUCUAUAUUAAUAUAUUAUGUAAAAUUUAUAUAAAUAUAUGUAAAAUAUCUUCUUUUCUUUACAACUAUAUAUGUAAAAUAUCUAAAAUAACUAUUAAAGUUUACAUUUUACCUAAAAAUAAAAGUAAAAAGUAAAAUCCGAUUCGGAUGCAUCUAAAGAAGAUUCAAAUGUUCUUUAAAUUAAGACUAUUUUUUCUUUUUUAUUUGGUUUUAUGGUUCUUUGGAUUUGUGGUUUUAAGAUUUUAGGAUGCUUUUCUAUUUUAAUAUCUAGAUUUUUUUAAUUUAUUAUUUAAAAACUUUUGUUGGUUUACAAUUUUAUGUUAUUUUUUGGAUUUUUAUUAUUUAUAUAUUUUAUUAUACAUAUAUAUGGGUACCCAUAUAACCCAUUAAGCCAAUAGAUUUCUACAAUAAUGGGUUUGGGUAUGUAAAUUCAACCCAUAUAAAUAUAUGGGUCGGGUCAAACCCGUCCAUUAAACACUCGAACCCAUAUGGGUUUGGGUCGGGUCGGGUCGGGUUACCCAUUUUGACACCCCUAAAUCUAUUAAGUGUUGGGGUGUUUUGUAGACAAGAAAAAAAAUAUAUUGAGAAAUGCGGUGAGCGUGGAUCGAACACGCGACCUUCAGAUCUUCAGUCUGACGCUCUCCCAACUGAGCUAUCCCCGCUUCUUAUUUAUUAACUUAUUUUAUGUAAUAACUCACUAGAUAAUGAUAUAUUGUAUCAAUUUUUGGAAACUUGUUUGUUUCCAUUUUUUGGGUUAGUGGAGUAUCUUUUCCUAUGGGUUCAAUGGUGUAGGAAACAUCAAACAACCACUUCUUUAAAGCAAUUCAUAUGAUGUUUGUGGCUUCAAUUAGCCUCUCUUAGAAGGAACAAACUUUUUGAUCAACAAUUCAAUAGCAAACUUGCAUGGUUUUAAAUAUGUACUACGAACUCGAAUAGUUCUGCUGCAAUUAUUCUUCCUAAUAACAAAGUGACCUUAGUCAAAAGGAUUCAAACUAGUAAAAUGUAGAUGCUUUGUUAUACUUCUCAUGAAAAUAUGAAGACAUGAACUUGUUUGCGAAAUUAGUUGCUUCGAUAAAGAGGUUUUACUAUGUAUGCCAUAGCAUAUGAAUGUUCAUUACAUAAUAGGAGAAGAUACUCAUCAAAUUCAUCUGUCCAGAUAGUACAAGUAGUACAUUUUCUCUAGAUUCUUCUGAUUUGUUGUGUCCCAACAUGAAGAUGAUUUUCACUUAUCUAACCUUGUUUCCUUGACCAGCGAAUCAUCACAUUGUCCUAAGAUCCUCUCUUUCCAGUUUGUAAGUGAAUUUUGAAGCUGUUAAUUGUUAAACAUGAAACUUAACACCAGUGUUCUAAAAUACGCUAUACGCUAGGCGUACGGUGGAGCACCGUAUAGCGUAUAGACGUAUAUACGGUCGUUUAUGCGGGGACUAUACGGUAGAUAUUUUUUAUUAAAUAAAUAUAAAUAUAUAUAAUAACAAUGAAACAUAAAUAUAGUAACAUGAUGAUACUAUACAUGAAUACAAAAAAAUUCAAAUUUUCAACUUUACAAAAUAUUUUUAAAAUUUUAAAUAACUAAGGGUCUGACUGGUUUAAACGCAGCGGUUGCGGUUGCGGUUGCGGGAGUUUGCGGAAGCGGGCGGUUGCGGCUUUAAGCGUUAUCAAGCGUUUUGAACGACUGGUUUAGCGUUUGAAAAUUAGUGCGUUUACGGGAGUUUUAUGACUGGUAAACCAGCGGGUGCGAUAGCAGUUAAAUAAAAAAAUGACCAAAAUAAAUAAAAAAUAUUUCAAAAAAAAAGAAAUAAAAACACCAAUAUAUUAUGAUGAUAAUAUUAGAAAAAUUGAACAUGCUUAAUAAUUAAAACCAUAAAUAAAGUACUAAAUAAUUAUUCAAAAAUAAAUAAAUUUUGUAACAAGAUAGUACUUUAUGCAUCUGGUUUAACAUCAAAAAUUGCAUCAAGUAAUGGGAAAAACUGUAAAUAACGUUGAAUUCAAUCAAAAAGCAAGUGAGUUUCUAUUCGAGAAAACAAAUCGAAACAUAUAUUCAAUCAAAAAGCUAAGCAAUACGUAAUGAAAAAAAAAAAAACGAUGCCAUGAAAAAUAUUCAAAAAGUUACACAUGAGGUGAUGAAUGAAUAAAAAGAUAUAUGAUACUUACAUUUGGUUAUUAAUUUUCAUCAGUUUGGAUGGAAAACAUUGAGAGAAUAGAGUUUCAGAAUAUUAUUAGGGUUUCUGAUGAGAACGUGAUACAAAGUGAUACAAAGAUGAAGAUAUAUAUAGAAUUAAUAUAUAUUAUUAUAAUAAUUAUAAGUAAAUGUUUAAAUUUUUUUUUUUAAUCCAACCGCUACCGCCCGCAACCGCAAACGCUUGCGGAAAGGAGCUUUUGAAAUUCAGCGAUUUUGAGCGGUUCGAAGCAUGACGGAGCGGUUUCUAUGAUUGGUACCAACCGCUAACAACCGCAACCGACCGCUAGCAACCGCUAGGAGGGUGCUAGCGAGAUAACCAAUCAAGCCCUAAUAAGCAUAAAAAUAAUGGAAAAGAAUGAUAAUUAAGUUAUUUUAUAGUUAAUUAUUAUGAUUAAUUUUUUGAGAGCCAAACUAAUAAUUUUGUUAAAUCAUUUUUCCAAAUAUUAAUAAAAUGACAUUGUUUUGUUUUGAGUACUUUUAAAAAAAACGUCGCAUAUGCGGAUUUCACCGUAUAUACGCCGUAUAAUCGCCGUAUUUGUAGAACGUAUAGCUUUCACCGUAUUAAACAACUAAAUAGCUAUAAUACAGUACAGCUUUCUACCGUACAGCGUAUAUAUGCCGUAUAUACGGCCGUCCAGACCGUAUUUUAGAAUACUGCUUAAAACACUUUCAAAGUGUAUCCAUCUCAGCACCGAAACCUCUGUGUGAAUCAGAGUAUCUUAUGACUUCAAUUUCCUUGCACGAGUCAAAAGUCAAAACUUCAGCAACGUUAGGACUGUGCAAUAAACAAAGAGACAGAGACAGAGACAGAGACGAUUCCUUGUUUCUCGAAUGUUGAGAAAGACUCUAACUUUAAUCUCACUAAGAAGACCCUUCUCUUCAAUUUCCCGAAAACCAUCGCCUAAAACCCUAACCCCACACCAAAAGUCCUCCUUUGAAUCAACUCUCCACCAUUCACUAAUCACCCACGACACUGAUCAAGCAUGGAAGGUCUUCCGAUCCUUCGCCGCCGCUUCUUCUCUCCCCGACAAGCGUCUCCUAAAUUCUCUCAUCACCCACUUGUCCUCGUUACACCACGCAGAUCAAAACACUUCCCUCAGGCACAGACUCAAGCGUGCCUUUGUUUCCACGACUUACGUUAUCGAGAAAGAUCCGAUUUUGCUUGAGUUUGAGACCAUCCGUACGGUUUUGGAGUCAAUGAAACUAGCGAAAACUUCCGGGCCAGCGUUGGCUUUGGUGGAGUGUAUGUUUAAAAACAGGUACUUUGUUCCUUUUGAUCUCUGGGGGCGUUUGAUUAUUGAUAUCUGUAGUGAAACUGGAAGCCUGGCUGCGUUUCUUAAGGUUUUUAGGGAAAGUUGUAGAAUUGCAGUAUAUGAGAAGCUUGAUUUUAUGAAACCGGAUUUGGUAGCUAGUAAUGCGGCUCUUGAAGCGUGUUGCUGGCAGUUGGAAUCUCUGGCUGAUGCUGAAGAUGUGAUUGAAUCUAUGGCUGUGUUGGGUGUGAAGCCUGACGAAUCGAGCUUUGGGUUUCUUGCUUAUUUGUAUGCGAGAAAGGGGCUUCGAGAGAAGAUUAGUGAGAUUGAGAAUUCAAUGGAUGGUUUUGGGUUUGUAAGUAGAAGAAUCCUUUAUUCUAAUGUGAUCAGUGGAUAUGUUAAGAGUGGUGAUUUAGAUAGUGUUUCUGAUGUUAUACUGCAUAGUCUUAAAAGAGGAGGAGAAGACUCGAGUUUCCGUGAGGAAACGUACUGUGAAUUGGUUAAAGGGUUUAUAGAGAGUAAAAGCGUUAAGUGUUUAGCCAAACUGAUAAUCGAAGCUCAGAAGCUUGAAUCUCUGUCCAUUGACGUUAACGGUUCAGUUGGGUUUGGAAUCGUAAAUGCUUGUGUCAAGCUCGGAUUUUCGGGUAAAAGUAUUCUCGAUGAAAUGAAUGCUCAGGGAGGAUCUGGAGGGAUUGGGGUGUAUGUGCCGAUCUUGAAGGCCUAUUGCAAAGAAGGCGGAACAGCUGAAGCUACUCAGCUGGUUACAGAGAUCAGCAGCUCUGGGCUUCAAUUAGACGUUGAGACCUAUAACACUAUGAUCGAAUUUUCCAUGACGAAACAGGAUUUCCUAUCUGCGCUUACAUUGUUUAAGGAUAUGAGAGAAACAAAAGUAUCAGAUUUGAAAAGAUGCUACUUAACAAUAAUGACAGGUCUCCUUGAGAAUCAGAGACCUGAUUUAAUGGCAGAGUUUGUGGAGGAAGUUGUGGAAGAUCCUCGCGUAGAAGUGAAGUCCCAUGAUUGGAAUUCCAUCAUCCAUGCCUUCUGCAAAUCUGGGCGCCUAGAAGAUGCAAAGAGUACAUUCAGAAGGAUGGCUUUCCUUCAGUAUGAGCCAAAUAACCAGACAUACUUGUCAUUGAUCAAUGGAUAUGUGAGCUGCGAGAAGUACUUCGAGGUGGUGGUUUUGUGGAAAGAGUUCAAAGACAAGAAAGCAAAACUGGAGCAUGCUCUUGCGGAUGCGUUCUUGAAUGCAUUAGUCAAAGGAGGGUUCUUUGGCACGGCGUUGCAAGUGAUAGAGAAAUGUCAGGAGAUGAAGAUAUUCGUGGACAAGUGGAGGUACAAGGCAACGUUCAUGGAGACUCAAAAGAAUCUCAGAUUGCCAAAGUUGAGGAAGAGGAAGAUGAAGAAAAUGGAGUUUCUUGAUGCCUUUAAGAACUGGGCUGGUCUUACCACAUGAAAAAAUCUCUCAACGAUCAAAUCCAAAACUUUUCUCUUGGUGCGGCCAUGAUAAGAUUAACAGAGAGAGUUUAUAGUCAUUCGUUUUUUUUAACGUUUGGAAGCUCAAAGAUUGUUUCCGCAUAUGCUUAACUCAAUUCUUUGAAAGUUCCAAGAGAGUUUGGAUAGUUCUUAUUUCACAUUAUUAACUCAUUAAGUAUGCACAAUAAUAGCAUCCGAUGUAUCUCUUGUUUCUUAUAUUAUGAUUUAUUAUGCAUUUUAGAGUACAGAAUAAAUUACACGUCAAUCAAAACUACUAAAACCACAGCAAGCUGGAACUGUAUCUUUUGGUAAACUUCUGUGGUCGAUAAGAAACUGCAAGUAAUCUGGAGUGCCACAGCCACUGGUUUGAUACUCCGACCCAAUGCCUUCCCUUCUGCCAAGCUUUGAAACACUCUUUCUGUGUAUAUUUACAAGUAAACCGAAGCCCACCUCUGAGUUGAGGUUAAGCAUCAACAUUCCUUAUUGCUGAUUGCAAAGAAUCUUUCCCCUUUGAUCAAUGUUGCUGUUGUAUUGGCCUGAAGAAGCAAACAUACUCUGCCCUGAAUGUUAGAUGUGGAGUAUUGGAGCUUCAAAUAUGCAUGUGACCUGAAUGUGCUGCAGCUCAGUUGAAGAAGUAUGGCGACUGUAGGACCUUCCUCAGAUCAAAGUCGCCUCGUUCUGGUAAUGGCGGAAAACUUAUGUCUGGGAAGGACUUUUGGAAACUCUCCAACAACUAUCAAUACACAGAUAAACCAGCCAUCAUGAGUUUAGUUAUAAGAAAACAAAGAAAUAAAAUUGUAACGUUGGUAGUAUUCCCCCUGAAAUAUGAAAUAAGUAGAUUCUUUUACGUUUUCUAAGAUUGGUUUUUCGUAGAGCUCGACAAACUUCUCUCUGAGUAUUGUGUUCAUUAUUUCAACAUCACAUGCAUGCGUCCAGAACGAAUCAUGCACCCCUACAAAUACGAAAUUGGUAUGAAGAGUACGAAUCUAGAAUGAGAAAUCAACAUCAGGUAAAUGCAUAUGGAAAGGCUAUAGAGCUGACCUGCGAAACUCAAGCCCACCCUGUUGCAGGCAACUGCUGUCAUCAUCAUGUGAGACCCAUCAAGAGAAUGUAUAAAAUUUGGUGCAAAAGCAGUCAUCUGCCUCCUCGCCGCGACCUGAACCAAGAAUACAGUAUGUGGUGCAGAAAGAUGAGACUAUUCUGCUUAAAACUCAUCAAAUCAACCCAAAUGCUACAUUACGAUAAGAUGUAGGCUGAACCCUACUCUUUCUACAAAUAAGAAUGUCAGAAAAAAAGUUAUGGUGAAUGAAAUUUGGUUGGGUUACCUUAUCAGUCUCACGGCUUAGAGUCAACACCUGAAGGGUAGUCUUAACCUGCCAAAAUUGAUGCGUCUCAAAUUCAGUGAUAUUCUAUCAAUUUUUUUCAGCUGAUCAUUUGUGCUCCUUCAUUUAUCAAAGAAGUCAAGAGCAUUACCAAAUGUCUUCCAGGCUUCCGAUAAGGCUGUACAACUGGAAGUCCAAGAGGAGUCGUCCAACAAACUGCUUUGUUUUCUGAAGCUAUUAUCUGUCCACCACAGAAAACAACUCUCAUUGUCGUAACCAUUUGUCAAGUGAAAAUUCCUUCGUAACUUAUAAUUUCUUAAGCGGAAGCCUCAAUAAGAGCAUCACGGAUAUAAGAACUGACCUUUGCACAAUCACCAAACCAACUCUUGAUAGCUCUAGCAGCUUCAAACAUCUCUUCCAAUGCUUUCAAAGUGAUCUAGAAACAGAACCAAAAAAGGAGUGAACAUUCGAUGCCAAAAUGCAAAAAUCAAUCGCAGAUUAAAAAUGCAUAACCAUAGAAAGUAUAUUGUUGCCCAAAUCAAGCAAUUAAAUUAUCAUUUCCUUACUUUUGCUGCAUAACAAGCUGCAUGAAAAGUCAGUGAAUCGUCCUCAAAGGUACCACGUUCUUUUAACCUCUUCUUUAUUUGGUCACGUGCGCCAGAAUAAGUAACACCAUACACUGAUGUCAUGACAGUCUGUUUUACCAGCUUUCUGUCAACCUAAGGAAUUUCAAUAGUAGAGUCCUGUUGUCAGAUAGGAUGAUUACAAACAAGCAUUACAGUGACACAUAGUAGCAGUACAUCUGAUCCUUAUAGUGGUGGGAUAAGAAUGGGUUGUCAGGCAACAUGUUUGGCAGAAAGUGGCCAAUAUAACAAGCAAGAGAUGUGAAAAACCUGGUCGAGCAUGAGUUUGGCAUAUGUGGCAUUUGGAAAUGUUUCAGGAUCUUCCUUUGCAUCUUGCUGCAUGAUCUUGAAAACCCUGAUUUAAUGAAACCAAGUUAAAAUCCUGUCUGAGUAGAGUGUUACUAUAGCCAGAGAGAUAAGGGAAUAUAAAGAUAGAUAAAGUACCUAGCCGCAAUUUCUGCAUAAACAUCUGCCGGCUUUUCACCUGUUACAAGGUUGACAGCAUCUGCGCCCAACUAUAAUAGAACCAAUUUGAAAGAAAUGAAUCAGAGAACCUUCAGGAGAAAUACAUUUGCCUAUGCUCGAAAGGAUGCAUACAAAAAAAAAUUAUAGUUACUGUAAAACUAAUGGCAUACCUUAUCCCUCCCAAGAGCAGCAUAGUGUUGUAAACCAUUACAUGAACCAUCCUUGCAAUAGAAAAAUAAUAAAGGAAAGUAAGAUUAUCUACUUACAGAUGAUGAUCUCGAAGCAACAAAGGCGCCUAUAUAAUUUUCAUUUCGCCAGAAUGUCACAAAAGUUGUUCAUGUACAAGUAUAGAUAAAAUCUAGCGAGUACCUGGUGGAUGGGGAUAUGAGAUAUAGCAGCUUCAGGAAAGGGGCUUCUCAAGGCUUCUGAAAGAUUAAUGCAAGCAGCCAAACAUUGAAAGGGAUCCUCUGCGUUAAGCCACCAUCUUUUUCCUUCAAGAGGUCUAUCAGAAGAAUCAUAUAUAUCUUCCAAGUGACUCUCAGUAAACGCAAUCCGAUCCUCAUAAGCCAGCUUAUCGACUCCACCAGCAUAUAAGUUUGCUAUAUGUAUCUUCAGCCAACGCAACCCGGAUUUCCCAAGAGGCUUUCCCUCACAAAACUCAAGGAUGCCUCGGCAGAGAUCAGACCCGAGAUGGUUAAGAUAUGGAUGUAUGGGAUAUGCUCGGCCACGAAAAUCAACAUUGUGAGGGUAGUAGAAACCUUCCUCGUCCUUCAUUUUACGUGCCACCUGCUCAAUCAAAUCAAGAUGUUUUUAUACAUCACAGCAGCAAAAAAGAGUGCAAAAAGAAGUCUUCUCUUACCUCGAGUUUGAGCUCUAUAUCACACCUUUGUGAAUGUCUCUCAUUAUUUUGCUUAAUUGCUUUUUUCGAUUCCCAUUUCCAAUUUUUAAAUUUUUCAUGGUCUUCCCUUUCCGGCUCCUCUGGAACGGGUACCUUUUGUAGUUUAUAAAGACGUGAGAAAAAAUCAAAAUUUAUGAAAGAGAUGUAGGAAUCAAAAUUCUUCAUUCUUCUGAAGAAGAUGGCUAGCGGAUGGGUGAAUAAGAGAGAUCUUACAUCUUCACGGUCAACCAGACCACCAAGGCGACCUCCAUUAGCCCAGAUUCUGUCCACCAAACUUAACACCUUUUUGUUUAUUCUCCAUUUGGUGUUUCCUAGAGUAUCUAAAGCCUGAUUAAACAAAAGGAAUCACAUGAACUUAUCUGUUAAUAACACAAUAUUCAUAAAUUUCGCAACUCCCAUCUGCUUUUAAGCAUCCAAUAAAUGGUUAAGCUCAAGAAAUAUUAACUCGCAAUACAGGUAAAGGAACUCAGACCUCAAACACUGGCUCCAGUUGCUCCUUUGGCGUUCGUCUCAUUACAGUACGUUGUUGUAUAGCUCCAUGUGUUCUCAUGAUGAAUGAAGGCAAGAAAAGGUGUGCCCCUUGAUCAUACCUGUAAAAUACUGUCAGUAGCAAUUCUAGAAACAUACUUGAGCAAACUGUAGAUAUCCCCUGUAUGACGGCUAUAUAAGAACGAAUGCCAUAAAAGGAUAAAUCUAUAAAGGGGAUCUAGCAAGAGUAAGAAAGGAACAAUAUAAGUCCUAAUUAUUGGUGAAAAGAUCUCAUACCCUGUCCAGUUCUGGGGAGGUAUUAGCAUUGGCAAGUAGGGAAUGACCAUAUGUCUAGCCUGUUUAAGACAAAGGAAAAUUGUGAGAAAAGAGUAGGAAGAUUGUCUCAGACUCAAUUAAAAAUGCCUUGAUCUAUAGUGGUAAAAGAUUGUUCCGACCCAAACAUCACAAAGGUACAACUGAUACCAGAUAAAAGAACAGUAAAAACAUAGUCCACGAUUCUGCUUACUGAUUUGUCAAGGCCCUUUAGGACCAAAGGAUCGCAUUCGAUGCAACCAUAUCUCCUGCUCGUUUUUCUGAGGAAGAAUACAAUAGAAUGUAAAUAAACAGCAGAGACAAGGAGAGGGAGAGACAGACAGAUACAUGUGAAUGAGCAUAAACAGAAAUGCAAAACUCUUACGUAUUUUCUAAUGUGACAGUUCUGAAAUUUUGCUUAAAAGCAGGUCGGAUGUCAGGUGGACCAUCAUCAAACUGUUCAGCUGGAGGUUGUAUAUAUGCAUUUUCAAUCAGCAGCUGAAUCAAACGUGCGCCGACCUAGAAGCACAAGAGCCAAUAUGAUUGAAUCACAGAGAAGAGAAAAAAAGAGAAGGAAGAGAAGAAUUAUUAUAAAGCUCUGUGCAUUAACAAGUGUGGAAGUAUAAACAAACCUUCACUUGAGCCUCUUGACCCCAUGGCUUGAAUGAGUCAUGUUUCCUCACUAAUACUUUUACUUCCCUCAACUUAUUUUUUUCCAUCAGUACAGUAGCUCGUUUCCUCGCCUUUUCCGUUUCUUUGGCCACGGUUUCUUCUGAAACAUGCACAGCUUCUGUAUUGAUCGUCUUGCCAGUUGCAUUUUUUUUAUUAUUUUUCUGCAAAAAACUGUUGAUCCUGACCUGAUCCAGUAACAAAAUACACAAACCAUCAAACCAAUAUACACUUCAUAACCCAUGGGGCCAAGGCAAUAUGUAUCAAUGACACAUUACUAUAUUCACUCUCAAACUAUAUCAUGAAAUAGCAUCAAAAGCACCACGAGAAAUUAAAACCCACCUCCUGCUCAACGGCUUCCCCGAUCUGAGUAGCAGCAUUCACUAACUUAACAAUGCCAACACCUUCAACGUUAGUCAUCAACAAUCCCAUCAUCUUAUUCAUAGUGAUAACAGCCAUCUUAUCAGCCGGUAACUGCUCCAUAAAAGGCGCAUACGGAAUUUUCCCUUUCUUGAUUUUGAAUAGAUCAAGAUCAGCUUGAAUAGCAUUACGCACAGGCUCAAACCAGCCGAGAAACAAAGUCUUCAUAUAAGGCAAAUUCGGUGCAAGCUUCUGCUCACACAUAUCUGCAAGAAUCUCUCGACACUCUCUGGCCGCUCUUUCCCAUUCUUCAGUCUCCAUUUUCACUUGUCUUUGUCUCAGCAUAUAGUACUUUUGUGCUCCCAUUCCCGCAAUAACUCUCUUUGGCGGUGUCGCUGCAAGCCUAGCUUUUUUACGGAUUCUCUCAGUUUCUUUCUCCAUUUCUGUUAUCAACUCAUUAACUUCAUCAGACCCAGAAGACUCAUCUUCAGGAUCAGUCGAAUCAAUAGCUUGCGCAGCUGUAGCAUACCCUUCAAACACAUAGCAUUGACCAUAACGAAACGAGCUCAAUCCACCAAAUUCGUCAAUUGGGUUUAUCGAUAAUCCAUUUCUAACGCCAAUAAGAUUAACAGAAGAAAGAAUCCCACGAACUCUAUUCACUUGAAAAUGAGUACCGGAGCUAGAAUCAGAUAAAAACUUAACCUUUCUCAAUGAAGCUCUUCCCAAAAUGUUCCUCCACAUUUUUUAAUCGUCUUUGUGAUCGCCACGAAAUGGUAACUUCUGAUAGAUUACUUCUUCCGCGAGCUAUGUAGCUACUGGAUUUUGUAGAGGUAUCAAUACAAACAUAGAAAUCAAAGAGUGAAGAUUCGAUGAACAAGACUUGUGUGAAGAGAAGAGAGAUCUGGAGAAAAGAGAAGGCGCCGUGAAAGUGAAGUACACAGCCACCGAAAUAAACCCUUCAUAAAACCUUCGGUUUCUGCUUCACAUUUCAUGGAUCUUUGUAAAACCCGACCCGCUUAUCAUAUCCGUUACCGAACUUAUUUGGGCUCAAAGCCCAUAUUCUAGCACGAGUUAUUAAUUGUUAAAAAUAAAAAUAUAACAACUUAACAUAACAUCAACAAAUCAGAGUGGCGCAGCGGAAGCGUGGUGGGCCCAUAACCCACAGGUCCCAGGAUCGAAACCUGGCUCUGAUACAAUCUUUUUUUUUUUCUUUUUCUCUUUUGUAACUCUUGGGCUUCUCAAGCCCCAAUAAAUUACCCAUAAUUGCCCCAAGACUGAUCAUUCAAUAAGCCCUUCAUAGUAUUUUUCGGUUUUCGGUAGGACGAGGGGAGAUUAGUUUUAAUGUUAAUACUUUUGUUUGGGGAAAAUCACAUAUUUAACCCUCAAAGUGUAACUAGGAUGCACUUUAAACCUCGAAAGAAUUCUACUAACACUAUAAACCACUAAAAUUGUUUUACUAACACUUUAAACCUCCAAACUAAUUUUUCUGUUUGCAAAGCCAUAAAAAAUGAUGAAACAAUCAAUUUAUGUUUGUUUGAUAUAUAUUUCUUUAAUUUAGUUUUAAUUUUAAUUAAUUUUAUUAUUUAUAACGAUUUUGACGAUAAAAAAAAAGUAAAAAAAAAAAUCAUCAUCUUCGAUUAUUCACCGUCUGAACACAAUUUUUCAAAUUUUUAUUUAGUUGAUUGUAUAUGUUUACCAUCUUUUUAUUCAGUUGGUAUUAUGAGAUUCCAAUUUAUCUACUGUAGAGAGAGUAAAGAUACUUAUGGAUCAGUCUAAAAGAUUGUUUCAACAGUUUAUCAAGAAAUUUCAUGGUCGGACAGUGAGUAAACGAUGAAAAUAAAGUUUUUUUUUGUUUUUUAUAGAUUUUUAUUAAUCGUAAUAAAUAAUAAAAUUAACUAAAAUUUAAAUUAAAUUAAAUAAACAUAUAUUAAACAAACAUAAAUUGAUUGUUCCAUCAUAUUUUAUAGCUUUGCAAACAAAAAAGUUAGUUUGGAGGUUUAAAGUGUUAGUAAAACAAUCUUGGUGGUUUAUAGUGUUAGUAGAAUUCUUUUGAGGUUUAAAGUGCUUCCCAGUUACACUUUGAGGGUUAAAAAUAUGAUUUUCCCCUUUUAUUUAUAUGUAAAUGAAAGUGAUACAUAAAAACAUAAGAGAUUAGAAUAUGUUAUUGUUACUCAUUCGAUUAGACCAUAUGCAAGGGGAGAACUUUUGAGUGUGUUCUUAAGAUUUAAAAAUAAGAAAUAAGGUGAACAGUAGUAAAACAGUUCUAACUUAUGCUGCAAAAUGUUCUUCCUGAAGAAUAGUUUUUAUAAUUUUAAGAAAGUUGUAUUCACUAUCAACAUUUUUAUUAUUUUAAAACCCUUAAGAACACGUUAAGUGUUCCCAUUGCCUAUGCUCUUAGAAAGUACAUAGUGAAAAAAUAAACAGAUCAGAAAGAGGCCACGUGCAUCACGUGACAACCUUAAAUCUGAUAGGUUAGAAUCCCGUCUAAUCACGUGAACCCCACGUGUCAUCACAAACAACGGUUCAUUUAACGGAUAAUCACAUCGUUUCGUACACGUGUCAAAACCAGGAAACUGACGGACAAAAACUCAAGUAACCUCACGUAGUCUCUCCCCCAGGUAAUCAAAACUCAGCCGAGUCACGAGUCACCAAAAAAAAAAAAACCAAAUAAGCAACUACAAGAAGCUCGUCGACGGCAAAAGUAAAAAAAAAAACUCUCCGGCGAAUAUGAGAACCGGAAAAGGAAAUCAAGAGGAAGAAGAUUACGGAGAAGAAGACUUUAGCUCGAAACGUGAAGGUCC
rnacentral:lncRNA from 1 species